AGCAACAUAGAACAUAUCAUGAAUUCAUAUUCAUUAACAAUAAACUAAAUCAUAACCGAAAUAAGAAAAAUAAUGAAAAAUAGAAAGUAUCUAGUAUCUACUCGCAAUUUUCUUGCGGAUCGGACUCUAGAACCAGUUCCUCUUGAUCUUAAAUAGUUAAAUAAAGGAUGAACUACACUAACCCAGUAAGGAUAUCACAUUAUAUCACUGACACAGAAGUAAAAGUUGGUAUAAAAUCAAAACAACUAAUGGAGCACUAAAUUUAGCGCAUUCGUUUAUCAAUCAUAGAAUCAUUUACCGUUCACUUACCGUAGUAGAAUUUAUGAAAACAACCUAUAGAGACAAUAAUAUAAUACAGAUCAUAACUUCAUGAACACCAAGCAACAUAGAACAUAUCAUGAAUUCAUAUCCAUUAACAAUAAACUAAAUCAUAACUGAAAUAAGAAAAAUAAAAAGUAUCUAGCAUCUACUCGCAAUUUUCUUGCGGAUCGGGCUCUGGAACCAGUUCCUCUUGAUCUUAAAUAGUUAAAUAAAGGAUGAACUACACUAACCCAGUAAGGAUAUCACAUUAUAUCACUGAUACAGAAGUAAAAGUUGGUAUAAAAUCAAAACAACUAAUGGAGUACUAAAUUUAGCGCAUUCGUUUAUCAAUCAUAAAACCAUUUGCCAUUCACUUACCAUAAUAAAAUUUAUGAAAACAACCUAUAAAGACAAUAAUACAAUACAGAUCAUAACUUCAUGAACACCCAGUAACAUAAAACAUAUCAUGAAUUCAUAUCCAUUAACAAUAAAAUAAAUCAUAAUCGUUUCUCAUUUCACAAGCCUACUAAUAUUCAUGGAGGUUCAUAGUGAUGUCCCCUCUACACGUGAACCAUUUCUCUUAAUAAUCUCAAUUACAGAACAGACCUCCUAUCAGGACAGAGCUUAUAAUCUCAUCCAGCAAGAUGCUGAAGCCAACCCGAACGUGGUACAUGGUAUGUACACUAUCUGUAACUAUCUUACUCAUGUUUUGAUUGAUACUGGUGCAUCGCAUUCGUUUGUUUCAUAGGUUUUAGUGGGUGUUACAACAUCCCUUGUAAAUUUGUGAGACUUACAAUAAUUUUUUGAAAUUACAUCACAAUAAUAUUUUCUGAUAUACUUUAUAAUAACGUUUUAAGAUAGCUAAAAAAACUUUCAAAGUCUUCCUUUGAUCUUGAACUCACUCCUGACUUGAAUUAAUCUGCACUAGGGGGAUGUGAAUUAGGAUGAGCUUCACAGACUUAGUAAAUUUGUAUGAAUGUACAUUUAUAUAUCUCUAUUUUAAAUACUACUUUACAAUAACGUCUUAAGGUAGUUAAAAGAUUCUUCGAAAUCUUCUUUUGAUUUUGAACUCACUCCUAACUUGAACUAAUCUACACUGGGGGAGAUGUGAAUUGGGGUGAGUUUCACAAACUCAGUAAAAAUAAAAUAAUGUUCAGAAUAGUUAUACAUAAAUGCACAUUCAUACAGGUUUAAUAAAACAAAUGCAAAUUUUAUAUUCAUAAAAAUUCAUUUUACAAAUUAUCGCAAAGUAUAAUAAAAGAAUUAAUCAAGAACCACAUCCAUUUUCAUUAUUCAUUCCAACAUAUAUCUAGGUACCGUACAUAUCAUUCUCAUUCAUAAAUAUAAUCAUAUCGUAUUGGAUUCAUAUUUAGAUAAUUCCAUUUCGUUCACAAAUAUCAUCAACUACCCCAGAUAUAUAUCUAGAUCACUUCCAUUUCUAUUACAUAUUUUUAUUUCCAUCACCGGUAUCAGUAGAGGUCCAUAAGGAUCUCUGCUACACGUAGAUGUACAAAAUAUUUCUUUUACAAUUCACCGGUCAUCCCCAUACCCCGUCCGGUAAUGGACGCCACAAUUAUAAACUGCCUCAAUACCCCAUCUAAUAAUGAGUGUUAUAAUUAUAAACCGUUUCAAUAUCCUGUCUGAUAUAAGCGUAAUUAAAUUAAUUCUCAACCCCGUUCGAUAUGGAACUUCUUAGCCUCAUACGACUGAGAACACAUCUAUGGUGGGAAUCAAAUUAUAUACAACCCCGUGCACUCUCUCUCGUGAUACACGGUAAGCUUUUUCCUCUUCAAAAAUUAUCUCAACUUCAUAAAAUUAAAUACCAAUUACAAACAUACAUAUUCUUAUUUUUCCACACUGACUUGGUCAUGUAUCCAUUGUACAUAUAAUUUACAUGUAUGUAGCACACUUCAUAUUAUAUAUACAUACACGCACAACAAUAUAUAUCAUAUACUGCACAUUCAAAAUAAUUAACCACGUACUCAUAUGUAUAUGUACAUCAAGACAUUUAGUUUUUUAACAUAUGCACGCACAAAUUAUCUCUUAUAUGUGUAUUAUUUGGCACACGCUCAUACAUUCAAACACACUCGGUUACAUAUUCAUACAGUUUCAUUUAAUUACACAAACACAAUCGUAGGAAGUUAUUCACACACUUCCACAUACGGAUGAUACUUUGUGAGAAAACAUAUUCUCAUAACUUUAGUUCCAUACAAUCGGCUAUCUUUCCAGUUUUAUAUUCCCAAUUUUCUGAAAAUUUUUAUACAUAUGAUUAAAGAUUUAAUUUAAAGUAAUAAACAAAUGUAAGGUGGAAGAAAAUUUACCGAAUUCAGUGUCAAAUUCGGGCUUUCUACCCGAAAGAGUGCGGUUUCGGUCUCUCUUCUGGUUCCUUGAUUUUUGGCCUCGCAUGGAUCAUUGAACAGAUCUGGAACACCGCGUCGUGCUCUGCCUCACACAGAUCAAAUCCACCCAGCACGCACUUUGCUUCUUCUUCUUCAGCAAUACGCGCCGUGUGCCGCGUGCCCAUCACCGCACACCACACGCUGGCAUAGCGUGCCUUGCACCGCGCGCCUAGCACCGCCCGUCACGAGUUGCGCGUCGCAUGCUCAACACCAUUCACCGUGUGCUGCGUGCUCAGCACCACGCACAAGCCUUCCUUUCCAAUCGCGCGCACCUCGCCCUGCUUCCUUCCUCCUCUUUCUUCUUCGGCAGCGCACGUCGUGCACUUAACACUGCACACACGACAUCCUCUCUUCCGGUCGCAUGCGCCGCGCAC
rnacentral:lncRNA from 1 species